UACGUAGGGUGCAAGCGUUGUCCGGAAUUAUUGGGCGUAAAGAGCUCGUAGGCGGUCUGUCGCGUCUGCUGUGAAAACUCAGGGCUUAACCCUGAGCUUGCAGUGGGUACGGGCGGACUAGAGUGCGGUAGGGGAGACUGGAAUUCCUGGUGUAGCGGUGAAAUGCGCAGAUAUCAGGAGGAACACCGGUGGCGAAGGCGGGUCUCUGGGCCGUAACUGACGCUGAGGAGCGAAAGCAUGGGGAGCGAACAGG
rnacentral:rRNA from 1 species